AGGUCCCUUUCCAUCAGGCAGCUUUCCAGCCACUCCUCUCCAAGCCAGUAGGGUUGCCUUGGGGUUGUUGUGACCAAAUUGCAGGUCCCGACAGUUGGCCCUAUUGAAAUUCAUACAGUUAACCUUGGCCCAUUGAUCCAGUCUACCCAGUUUUCUAAAGGAUUUAGUUCCCUUCUGAGUAUUCUUAAUAAUGAUAUCCAACAGGCUUUGGGAAACAUGAUGAAAACCCAGAAAGAUAUUGUUCAGACCUCCAUAGACUCUUCCAGGCUUAGCCUGGGUGGAAAUGUAAUGUUAGACAUGGCAGGUUUUGCUUAUAACUGUGCUCUUUGAUUAUGAAUAAGAAAAGACAAAGCAAGAAAAACUCUCAAACUGUCGUACUUCAUGGAGUGGGCUGUUGCAGCUAGCAAUAAAUUGUUGAUUGUUUGUUGAAAAGCCUUACUAGUUGUGUUUGCUUUUUGGAUAUCACAAGUCACUGGGUCAUGACAGGGACUGUGAGUUAUGUUCCUCCUCCCAGCUUGAAAGCGUGGAUUCACAACCAUGAUGCUCAGCUGUGCCACAAGGCAGGCUGCCUGUUGGAAAAGGGGAAGGUGGCACAAGGCUGGAAGUGCCUUCCUGUUGAUGGAGUCUUUCUCCUCCAAGUAGCUUAGAAAACUAUUUCUGAAGUGCAAGUUGCUCUUCAAGUGUCCAUCCUUUGUCCCGAGGAGGUCUUUGCUGGAGCCUUGAGAGAGAAGUAUGCUGGAGUUCACUGAUUCUUAUGUUUUGGUGUUGCUAUGGACACAAGAGUCUACGUCUGUGCCCCUUGCCUAACUUUUGCCUGCAUUUUACAGUCCCUUAAAUGCAACUUUAGGAUCUGGGAUACUGAAUACCUUGAAGCAUUGAAGUCACAUCCUCUGGUGUUUCAGCAGGGGUUAGAGCUGGCUGGUGGUGAUUAUGUUAUCAAAAGCUUCUCUUCCUCUGGGCAGAAUGAAAGCAGGGAGAAGCCCUUGGUAAGAGAGAGUGUGCCAAUGGAUAUUGGAGGCACUGAAGGACCAAGAGGUCAGCAUAGAAACACGCUGCCAGACUGCUAGUACUGCCUUUGGCUCUGAAUAUGUGGUAGUUCCAGACGUGGAGGCUGUCACUGGGAGGUUGGACCAAAAAUAUCUUCAGCAGCCAUAAUCUGUGACUCAUUAACGAAAAGGUUUUCUGUAUAAAAUGUCCACGACUCCUUGAGGCAGGCUUAUGAUGUACAGUCCAUAAUUUCAGAGACUAAGGUUACCAUCAGAGAUGUCAGUUCACAGGGACACCAUAAAACAUAAAUUAUAUAACCAAUAUCACGUUUUCCUUCUUUGUUAUCAAUUAAUGGAUUAUUCAAGUAGAGAGCUGGGCUGGUAUUGUUCCAGUCAAGUUGGAUGGGGAAAUCUUGUAGAAAGAGGAAUAAGCAAAAAUCAAUUUUCAAAUGAUCAGCGGAAGAUGUUCCCAUCAAUUCUUGCCAUUUCCAGCAAGUGCACAAGAGAAUCAGCUGUACUUCCAGUUCUGCUUAAUGAAUCAUAGAAUCAUAGAAUGGCCUGGGUUGAAAAGCACCACAAUGAUCAUUGAGUUUCAAUCCCCCUGCUAUGUGCAGGGUCGCCAACCACUAGAUGAGGCUGCCCAGAGCCACAUCCAUCCUGACAUUCCUUAACAGUGUUACCAAUUCUUUAGAGAAAUGAGGAUAUGUACUACAAGAGUGAUACUGAUGUGAUGUUUCCUGCUCUUACCAUGAUAUUUUUGUAUAAAUUAGGUGUUUCUUUGUCAAGCUAAUGGGGCCUUGCAAUGUAAUGGGGCUCAUCUUUUUAUGCUAAUUAUUCUUCCUAUCUAUUUGCUUACUAAAAUAUAGGUAUUUAAGGCUGAAUUGUGAAACUCAUUGCUUUUUUGAAUGGCAGGGUCCUAUUUAGAAUAAUGCUUAAUUUCUGUUUACUUGCAAAAAAUAUCCAGAGCAGCAUAAACAAUAUUGCAUAUGCUGACACCUGAGCACAUCUCAUCAAGUUGCAUUUUAAAAAUGCAUAGGAAAGAGAGCCAAGCACAAGAUAACUUCAAUUCUGGAAUUUUUAACUACUGGGGGCUU